rnacentral:rRNA from 1 species
AUUGAACGCUGGCGGCAGGCUUAACACAUACAAGUCGAGCGGUAACAGAGAGAAGCUUGCUUCUCUGCUGACGAGCGGCGGACGGGUGAGUAAUGCCUAGGAAUCUGCCUAGUAGUGGGGAUAACUUGCCGAAAGGUAAGCUAAUACCGCAUACGUCCUACGGGAGAAAGGAGGGGACCUUCGGGCCUUUCGCUAUUAGAUGAGCCUAGGUCGGAUUAGUUAGUUGGUGAGGUAAUGGCUCACCAAGACCGCGAUCCGUAACUGGUCUGAGUGGAUGAUCACUCACACUGGAACUGAGACACGGUCCAGACUCCUACGGGAGGCAGCAGUGGGGAAUAUUGGACAAUGGGUGGAACCCUGAUCCAGACAUGCCGCGUGUUUGAAGAAGGUCUUAGGAUUGUAAAGCACUUUAAGUUGGGAGGAAGAGCAGUUAACUAAUAUUUGCCUGUUUUGACGUUACCGACAGAAUAAGCACCGGCUAACUUCGUGCUAGCAGCCGCGGUAA